AAUAAAGAUAAAAAACAAAAGAAGAAGAAGAAGAAGAGAAAGUUACUUAUUUCUAUACUUGUUACAUUAUUCUAUCUCUUUCUCUCUUAUCUCGUUUAUUAUCAUGACAUUCUUUUAUAUUUAUAAAA
rnacentral:ribozyme from 13 species